GGCGCCGGCAGGCGGAGCAGUGGGAGGAGCCUGGGCGAGGGCUGGAGGACCCGGGUGCGAACCGGUGAUACGAGAGGCAGGGCAAGGUGUCAACAUGGAAGAGCCGGGAUGGGAAGACAUCUACUUUUAUAUUAACAAUUUAGCGAACCACAUCUGUUGAGCCUCUGUGAGACCUCAGCGACUCUAUUGAAUAAUAAGCUGGACAGCAGUUUAGUGCUUAGAGCUCAGAGUAUAGCCCGUGUGGGGCUACAGGGAUCAAGAAGAACUUAAGAAUCUUUACAUUCACUUGAAAAUGCCUGCUGAAUUUCUGGAUCUUGAGUUAAGUCCACCCCAUGCUCAAGAACCAAAGUGACUGUCGACGGCAGAGCUGGAUGUGCCUGGAUGUCACAAGCUCUUAAUGUCUGCCCACCGACCACCGAGUUACAUCCCAGAUCCUCCGCCAUCUGUACCACAGGUCUUUUUGGGGCCAACUCUCACUGCUGAAAAUCCUGCGUAUGAUGCUGCCACGAAGAAUGAGUUCUCCUUCUGAUCUUUCUCACGAAGCUAAUCUCAUUGGGUCUGCUUGUGAAAAGAAUGCAGACACAGCAGCACAUACUAAGCUGAGGGCUCCCCUCCAUCCUCUGGUUUCAAACACAUGUGGCCCACCACGGCAGGCACCAGAUGAGCUAACCCUAAAUGAAGAAAACUGCUGAGAGGUGAGGUGCAGGAUCUGGCACACAGACCCUAAAGAACCAGAUUUUGAUUUUAAACACACUGAAAUUUGUAGUCAGUUUUGUUCCCAUCUUCUUUGAUCCCCAGGAAACUCAGAUCCAAACUCAGAAAUUCAAGAAUUUCUGACAGACAUUUCUGCAUAACUAACUUUAUCCUUGUCUUUAUCGACUAUUCCGCCUUUAUUUUCCUUUUGCCCUAUCUCUGUUUGUUUGUUUUCAGUUUGAUAUAUUGUGUGUAUUUGUAUGAAGCCAACUCAAAUCCUUUUGGGAGUAAGGUGGGGGAAAUAAAUAAGUAAAGCCUCUUUAGAUUGUCUUUUAAUAGCUUGAGAAAGCAUCAUUAGUUGGCAAGAAGGACUAGAGCCAUUUGGUAUCCUUUGUCAAAUGAGUUAUGGAGUAAGACAUGAGCCUUGCUUUUAAGUAGG
rnacentral:lncRNA from 1 species